GGCACCUGUGCUGUGCUGCUGAUGCAGUGACCCCGGCCGGCACGUGUGCUGUGCUGCUGAUGCAGUGGCCCCGCCUCUGGCACGUGUGCUGUGCUGCUGAUGCAGUGCCUCCCGCCGGCACGUGUGCUGUGCUGCUGAGGACACUGUGCACCCAGACGGCCACAUCCUGGGUUUUCUUUUCAGAGACGGGAGUUCACAGCGAAGUGGAGGCCAUAGGGGAAGGGUGAACAGAUCCUGCAGUUGCUGCCGCCACAGCUGUGAUUAGGGCAAGUCUCAGCUCCCUGGAGUGAGUGCUCCUGUGGGCCAUCAGGUGACGUGGGGACAGAUGCCACAGAGGAGUGCAGAGGAGGGACCAGGGAGCGCUGUGGGAUCCAGGCUCUCUGAGAAGGUAUUUCUACCCAGGCGUAAUCACCAAGUGCUGGAAGCGACACAAGCGUCCUUCGAUGGUGCUGUUGAAAUUGUGCUUGUGUGGUAGUUGAGGGGAGAGCUGAGGGCCCUCACUGAUGAAGCCAUCAAGGGCACCCCCAGGAGAAGCCAUUCACGGGCUGCAUACCAGAGGCCGGGAAAAAAUGAAAAGAUCUGUUGGCAUCAACUUCUCCUCCAAGAAACCACAGGGUUUCCUACUAAUAUGGCCACCAGCUCCUCGCUCUCCCGGUAUCUCGGCCACCAGCUUCUCGCUGUCCAGGUAUCUCAGCCACAGAGACGCUGACUCAGUCCUGGACACACGUCUGAAGUUGACAUUGUGUCUUAGGUGGAAACAGCCAUUUGCAUUUGCGUAGGUGUGGAUUUGCUUGCACCCAAGGCCUCCAUCACAGGGCAUGGCUCCUGACAUCCAGCUCGAAAAGGGCAGAGAAUCCUUAGGGCUGCUGGUCCCACGUGGCGGACCCUGGUGCCUGCCUUUAUCAUAGCUUCGGGCCACAGCUCACCUUCUCACUAGACCGUGAGCUCGUGGGGCUCAGACCCCUUCUGCUCUCACCUCAGAACCCACCAGCAAAGGCCUGCGGCCGAGCCAGUCACUGUGAGCCAGAGUGGGAUCAAAGCAGGUAUGAAAGGAGCGUCUGCGUUAGUAGCGCAGUCUGCGCAGUUUCACUAGUUGGGAAUCUUUAUUCUGAGGAGUUAAUCCAAGACGUGUUUUCUAAGCAGCUCAGGACAAGGACUGUGGCCCAGGUGUUUCUCUCACCACAGAGACGACUCUGACACGCACUCGGGCAUUGCGUGAACGCUUCGCGAACACGUGCACCCGGCCACUGACCCGUCGCACAGCGAGCCCUGAUCGGCGCUGCAGGAAAAUGGCACUUGGGGAGGGAAGAAGCCCCAUGGCCAGGAGCAGCCUGGGCCAUGUGUGUUACACACAGCAAUAGACGGAUGGUCCUGCCCCCUCUCUGUCCACCACUUUCCAGCCAGGAGACACGGAUCAAGUCCCUUCCCCGCUCUGGGCCUUCGUGUACAACACAGGGCAGCUGACCUGUGACGGCCAGGCUCUUUCAGGUCUGGGCGGUUCCUGUGCCCCAGGACCAGGUGUUCAGGCCCAUCAGGCCCCGUCCUCUUCCCAGGGCAGAGCCAGUUCUGUCUGUGGGCUCCCUGGGAAGAAUGCUGGGAGUCAGGGUUAGUGAGGACAGGGCACGAGCUGCACCCCGAGGGCCGCUGGAGGCCACAGAGUCCUGUCCACACCGUGACUGUGACCCAGGGCCCAUCCACAGGUUUCCUUUGUUCUGGUGAGCAGGCCACAGAAACUGGCUCCAGCAGCCAGCGGAGCUGCAGAGUGAUCAGGCGACUGCUAUUGAGGGCGAUUCCGCUGCCGCCACUGCCCUGAGAGACCCUCUCAAGGCCUAGGGACCCCUCAGCCCGCACGGGAGGCUGGCUCACUGGCACGGCCAAAAGCGACUUUGUUUUGUCUUAGCCAGCUGCUUGUGCUCGUGUAUUUAUACACAGGAGAAAGUGCAGUUGGCCGUGGGAGAAGUUCAUUUUGUUUAAUUUUUAAUCAGAGACCACUGCAGAGUCGCACUCGACAAAUUCGAGUGCAGAGGAGGGCUCGUUGCAUGGGGCUCCUAAGCUCGCGGACAGAGCCCCAGGCCGCUGCCUGACCCUCCCAGCUGGAGUCAGGCCAGACUCCAGCAACACUUCCGGAAUGCUCCACACAGCCGGUGUCCUGCUUCCCCACACUGGGAGCACCUCACGCAAGUGUCCUCGGUGAUUCUGCAUCUUUAAUCCUCCCCAUUUUUUGUUUGUCUGUUUUUGAGACGGAGUCUCCCUCUGUCGCCCAAGCUGGAGUGCAAUAGUGCAAUCUCGGCUCACUGCAACCUCCACCUCCCAGGUUCAAGCGAUUCUCAUG